CCCAGCCCAGCUGCGGGGCGACCGAAAUAGUGCGGCGGCGUGGUUGAGUGCGAGGGCGAGCGCAAGGGGCUCGUAUUCAGUGCAAGAGGGAGCGGGAUUUGGAGAGAUGGGGAAGACGCCGGUGCGGAUGAAGGCGGUGGUGUACGCGCUGUCGCCGUUCCAGCAGAAGGUGAUGCCAGGGCUGUGGAAGGAUCUCCCCGGGAAGAUCCACCACAAGGUCUCCGAGAACUGGAUCAGCGCUACCCUCUUGCUCGCCCCCCUUGUCGGCACCUACUCAUUCAAUGCUGGCUCCCCGCCUUGUGGUCGGUCAACCUGACUCAGUGUUGGCAACAGAUGAUGGACCAUCAAAACGGGACCGCCAAAGGUGUUACCAGUUCAACUAUGGUGUCUACAUGGUUCAUCACUCGAUACUCUAUUGGCGUCAUGGAACAUGGAUGGCCGACUAUCAAUUGUUAUGUUCAAUAUUAUCAGGAGAAGGAGAAGCUAGCUCACAGGUACUAAGAUUGAGAUGCCCCUCUUUGAAAUCAUCCUGGUCAUGGAGUUAAUCAGAGUUCGUUGCCGUGUGCUCUGAUGUGUAACCUUUUGAGUUCUUAUUAUGCUGCAAACUUUAUCAUGUUUUCUUUUGAAUAAUUGACAGUGUGAAUUCAUUUUUGUUAAUUACAUGGUUGCACUUCCUGUAUUAACUGAGGUGCAGAAACAAAUGAUGUACCUAUUGUUGAAUUAACUAUUCCACCGACCUAUUGUUGGUGACCAGAUCUUACUCUCUAAUAAUGAGUGGACACUGAAGAUUUUGAUAAUGACCUUUGUUG